UUUAUAUUAAAUAAUAAUAUCACAAACCACCCCAUUUCAUUUUGUCCCCCAUGCUUCAAAUAAACAAUUACAAAAUGUACAAUUCCUAAACUACCCCUUCCGACCUUACUGAAAUUACCAAACUACCCCUGAACGUAUUACAAAUUUACCAAACUACCCAUCAGCUAUAACACAUCAAUUAAUCAAACUUAACCAAAAUAUAGACAAUAUGAUCAAUUUCUAACAAUGUUCAAACAACAAUAUGAACACGGAUGAACAUCAUAACAACAAUAUCACAUGAACAUGAUUUUAACAACAUUUCAACAACAAAUCAUAUGAACACAAAUUGAACAACAAAGAACAAAUAAAAUUUGAUUGAACAAUAUUUUAGCAACAAACAAUCCUAUUUUCGGAUUCAACACCAACAACAAACAAAGUAGGAAGAUUUCUAAAUUCAAUCAUAUUGAACUUAAAAUCAACUCUAACAACAUUACAACAAACAAUUCUUAUAUUAAACUUUAAACAAGAUUAUGAUAACAAUUCAAGCAAUAAUCAUAAAUGGUAAACAAGAAAUCAAACUAUACAAAAUUCGGAUUCAAGAACAAUCAAACAAAGUAUGAACACGGAUGAACUAUUUUAAAUAACAAACAUGACGGAUUAAACGAUUAAAACAAUAUAUUCCUUUAAUACAACUAAAUUCUUUAAACAAAUAACAAGAUCGACGAAGAAACAAUUAUGAAUUUAAACUUGAACUUAACAAUAUUAACAAUUUCUAACAAUACAUAAACACAUGAAACAAAUUGAAGAAAUAGUUGAUUAAAUUUUAAUUUGAAUCUAACAAACAUCAAACUAACAAAUACUUACUUAAACAAUAAUACAAACAUGAAAGCAACUAAUUAAACUUCUAUUUUGAAAUCUGAAAAUUAAUUUAACGAAACAUAUGAACAAACUAAAAUUAUUUCAACUACGGACAAACAAAACAAACAUUGAAUCAUUUAUCGAUUUUGAAUCCGAAAAAUACCAAACAAAAACAUGGACGAUAAAUGAGAUCCAAAAAACCACUAACCGGAAAUGAAACGACGAACAACGAACAACCAAUGACGAACUCGGACAGUGAUCGACGACAUCGACCAAAACUACUCCAUGUACGCGAACUCGACUGGACUGAAUGAUGAAGACGAAACGGAAGCAACUGAUGAUGAAGAGAAAUGGACGCAGCGCAGCUUAAUGAAGAAGCCAUAGCCAUCGAGGUUCGCGAGCUCGACAUGGACUGAAGCAGUAGCAUCCGCUACUGCUGGACAUCGGAGCUUGAAAUGGACGCAGCAGCAGCUCGGACGCGAGGAGGAGCAGCGGCGACGGUGUGGAGGAGCAGCGGCGACAGUGUGGAGGACGACGAAGCAGUGGCUAUGGCUGUUCGAGCUGAAGAAGACGAAGUGAGGCAGCAG
rnacentral:lncRNA from 1 species